rnacentral:rRNA from 1 species
UACGUAGGUGGCAAGCGUUGUCCGGAUUUACUGGGCGUAAAGAGCGCGCAGGCGGUCGUUCAAGUCGCGUGUGAAAGCCCCCGGCUCAACUGGGGAGGGUCAUUCGAUACUGAUCGACUCGAAGGCAGGAGAGGGUAGUGGAAUUCCCGGUGUAGUGGUGAAAUGCGUAGAUAUCGAGAGGAACACCAGUGGCGAAGGCGAGUCUCUGGACAAUUCCUGACGCUGAGGCACGAAAGCUAGGGGAGCAAACAGG